rnacentral:other from 1 species
GGUGGCAGUAUCUAAAGCCCCUACGGGGGGAAAUCAGAAAAGCUCCGUUCAUAGGAGCUCAUGUGAAAUACAGGAAAGAUCGAUGUCUGAGACCACAACUGGCCACGUGAAGUGGUUCAACGAAGCAAAAGGCUUUGGCUUUAUCGCCCAGGAAGACGGCAGUGACGUGUUCGUUCACUUCAGUGCCAUCAACGCAGACGGUUUUCGCACCCUGGCUGAAGGCCAGAAAGUGCAGUUUACUGUAACCGACGGCCCUAAAGGCCCGCAGGCAGAGAACGUAACGCCUGUGUAAUAAGGGCUGUCGCUGAUAAAGCGUGACCAGUCAGAAAAACGGGCCGAUGAUUCACCGGCCCGUUUUUUUAU